CAUCUCACUUCUGUCCCACAUCGUCUCCAUCAGAGACAUGAAGAACCCUAACGCCGCCCCAAAACGCCUCACCAUCUCCGGUGGCGGCGCCACCACAAACCGCCACCAAACUUACACCAAACACCCUCCUCCAUCUCCACAUCCUAGAUCCGCACCCCUUUUUCCCUCAAAUCGAACCCCAACUAUUCGAAUUUCAAAUCGAACCCUCAAACCCUAGCCGUCGUCCUAGAAUUCCCAACCUCCUGCCUGGCGGCGCCGGCUCCAAUCCUCACCAAAAUUACUCCCCAGGACCUCCACCAACCCCUCUUCCCAAAUCCCAUAUCAGUUUCCCUCGAACACCCUUGAAUCCUUUCGAAUCUGGAUUUGGAGACGAACCCUAGAAAUUCCUAAAUCCUAAAUCGAGUGUUCGUUGAAUUUUUCCGGUCUAAAUUGAUUUUAUUUGUGUGUUCUUGUUAAGAACACAUGAUUAACUUCAAAAUUGGCCAGAACUCGGAUGAUUUGAAGACCCAGGCUCCCUCUUUCAUUUCCCGAACCUUUUCGUGGGUACUUUCUUUUCUUUCUUCGGUUUAAUCUUUUCUUCAUUUGUUUUUCUGUUUUCUGCUUCUUCCCGUGCUUUUGAAAAUCUUAGUUUUCUAAUUUCAGAGUGUUAAUUACAUGCACGUUAGGUUUUUGUUAAGAAGUUUUCUUUUCUUUGAGUAGCUUAAGAAUUUGUUAAUAAUUUAGUUCAAAUUUCAUUAAGUGCUUAGUUGCAUCAAUUGGAAUUAGUAGAAAUUUUGCCUGAAUUGUUUCUGUUUCUGUGGAUUUCAUUCAGAGUUGGGGUUUGUUAGUAAAUACUGAAUUGGGUUGGUUUCAUGUUGGGUUUGAAAGCCCAAAGAAGGAGGUCAGCCCAGGUUAAGGUUAAAUGUUGGGUCAACUUGACCCAUGAGCUGAAAGGUAGCUAGUUAACCGAGGUAAUAACCGGGGUAUUGGCGGGUAAUUUGGGAUAAUUAGGUUGGGGAAUCUCUUUGUGACUGAAAUGGAAGCUUCCAGGAAAUAAGGUGGGGGACUGUUUUUGAAAAUCUGAUAAUUAACUAGGGAUAUCUAAGCAAAAGCAAAAUGGAAAGGGGACUAAGGGGCAAAACUAAUUCUUAAGGGGCUGUCCUAAUGCCUUGCCUAUAAAGGCACCCUAUCCUGCAUUUCAAAAAGGAUUCAGAGAUAAAAAAAUUGAGAAAAAACAAAGACGGCUAAAAUCUGAGUGAAAAUUACUAUUUCAUUGAACUCUCUAUGAGAUUUCUUCAGUUUCUAAUUCCUGAAAUAAUUCCUGAUCUAUCUGGGCUGAAAUGGUUUAAGUUUGGUGGUUUAAAGUUUUGGUUUGAAGUUCUGGUCGAUUUUUGUCAAUUGUUGCACCUCCUUUCUUGGCUUAAAGCUGGUUUUCCUUGGUUAUAUUUGUUGCUGACCACUGUCCUUGCUACUGUUUACUGCUGAUCUACUCACCCCUCUAAUAUUUCAUUUUCCAGGUAUCUAUUCUUAAACUUGUAGAGUUGAUGCUCAGAUUGGAGUUGAAAUGGAAAUAGAAGUUGUUCUUUGUAGCUUAAUACUAAGCUGUGAUUCAUAAUAUGGCUUUACUUUCAUAGAUCUCUCUGUUUCAUGCUUUCACAAUUAGGUUCUUCAUGUGUAAUUGAAUAUGCUUAAUUAUGUAAACUGAAUAACCGGAAGUCUUGUGUCACAG
rnacentral:lncRNA from 1 species